rnacentral:misc_RNA from 1 species
GAUGAAGAACGUAGCGAAAUGCGAUACUUGGUGUGAAUUGCAGAAUCCCGUGAACCAUCGAGUCUUUGAACGCAAGUUGCGCCCGAAGCCACUAGGCCGAGGGCACGCCUGCCUGGGUGUCACACGCCGUUGCCCCCCCAUCUACUCCUUCGGGAUUGCGGGGGGGCGGAUGAUGGCCUCCCGUGCGCCUAGCCGCGCGGUUGGCAUAAAUACCAAGUCCUCGGCGACGCACGCCACGACAAUCGGUGGUUGCGAAACCUCGGUUGCCCGUCGUGUGCGUUCGUCGCGCAUCGAGGGCUCGAAAAAAUGCUCGGCUCCGGCUGGGCUUUCAACGCGACCCCAGGUCAGGCGGGGUUACCCGCUGAAUUUAAGCAUAUCAAUAAGCGGAGGA